AGAAAUACUCCUACGGAGCGUACAACAAAUUGCGCAACAAAAUAAAGUGAAACGAAAAAUUAUGAAAUUAAAUUAUAAAUAAGAUGUCUGUCAGAGGAGGUUGAUGUCAAAAUGAAUGUACAAUGAAAUAGUUGUCACUACUUUCAAAUUUAUUUUUGAGACAUUUAUAGUAUUCAAAUUGAACAUUUAUAGUAUUCAGAUUGAACAUUAGAUGCAAAAUUUAACAAUUGUGUACGCAGAGUACUUGAACGAGGGUAUGCAUGUGUAACGUGUAGGUAGCGCGGUCGAUUUAAACGGGGGUGGGACGCCUUACGCUGCGGCGAACACCGCGAAUAUUCCGCGGCCAAUUCCGGAAUAACGUAGGUUGCGGCAUUUAGUUGUAAGCCCGGCUUAGUCAGAGAGCGGAUGGAAAAACUGCAGAUCUUCUUUGACUGAUCGGCUACGGCAUUGAGAACGGAGACCUCAGGUCUCGGAACGUGGGCCACUGCUGGUAGUCCCCAGUGUCACAUGGAGACUGACGGCUACCGCCGGAAAUCUGCACUUGAACGGCCAGUUGCGGCGUGUGAGAGACAGUCGGGGGCUCGAGCUGAUCGUUCAGUUCGGCAAGGCAUUACGCGUAGACCGUGUAGCAGUCAUCGUACAUCCCUUGGACAUCAGCUACCACCCUUUGGAUCCGCUUGCGACAUCGCCACCGAACAGGCCUCGAACUCAGCGUCCACCUUUGCCCACAGGCUUCGGAGUUGAUCUUGAUGGACUUGGGAGAGCGAGCAGGUUGGAGUGCUAGCAUCUGGAGCGUCGGGCUUCUGGUCGAAGCGCGUCAGUCUGCUUGCAGCGAAGGCAAACUUGGACCGUGUGAAAAUGGCUCCCGAUUGGUCCAUAGUGCUCGAAACCGUAAGAGGGACUGCCGAAGGGAGCAACAAGACAUCGAAAGCAUAUUCUCAACCCAUAAAAUACGAACUGUAUAAACGUAACAAUAUUAUGGAAAUUGUAAAAUGUGGCCGGAAUGUGCAGAUAUAAAUACUACGAUCAAUAAAUGUUUAACCAAGAGCGAAAA